rnacentral:rRNA from 1 species
UCAGGACGAACGCUGGCGGCGUGCUUAACACAUGCAAGUCGAACGGAAAGGCCCUUCGGGGUACUCGAGUGGCGAACGGGUGAGUAACACGUGGGUGAUCUGCCCUGCACUUUGGGAUAAGCCUGGGAAACUGGGUCUAAUACCGAAUAGGACCACGCGCUUCAUGGUGUGUGGUGGAAAGCUUUUGCGGUGUGGGAUGGGCCCGCGGCCUAUCAGCUUGUUGGUGGGGUAAUGGCCUACCAAGGCGACGACGGGUAGCCGGCCUGAGAGGGUGACCGGCCACACUGGGACUGAGAUACGGCCCAGACUCCUACGGGAGGCAGCAGUGGGGAAUAUUGCACAAUGGGCGCAAGCCUGAUGCAGCGACGCCGCGUGAGGGAUGACGGCCUUCGGGUUGUAAACCUCUUUCAAUAGGGACGAAGCGCAAGUGACGGUACCUAUAGAAGAAGCACCGGCCAACUACGUGCCAGCAGCCGCGGUAAUACGUAGGGUGCGAGCGUUGUCCGGAAUUACUGGGCGUAAAGAGCUCGUAGGUGGUUUGUCGCGUUGUUCGUGAAAACUCACAGCUUAACUGUGGGCGUGCGGGCGAUACGGGCAGACUAGAGUACUGCAGGGGAGACUGGAAUUCCUGGUGUAGCGGUGGAAUGCGCAGAUAUCAGGAGGAACACCGGUGGCGAAGGCGGGUCUCUGGGCAGUAACUGACGCUGAGAGC